rnacentral:rRNA from 1 species
UACGGAGGGUGCAAACGUUGCUCGGAAUCAUUGGGCGUAAAGCGCACGUAGGCGGCCCGGUAAGUCGGAUGUGAAAGCCCUCGGCUCAACUGAGGAAGUGCAUUCGAAACUGCUGGACUUGAGUACGGGAGAGGGAUGCGGAAUUCCCGGUGUAGAAGUGAAAUUCGUAGAUAUCGGGAGGAUCACCAGUGGCGAAGGCGGCAUCCUGGACCGAUACUGACGCUGAGGUGCGAAAGCGUGGGGAUCAAACACG